rnacentral:lncRNA from 1 species
UUAAAAUAUUUGUUCUGCUCUGUCCUGUGCAAGGAAUACAGGACAAUUAGACAGCACAGCCCUUUGUCCUUGAGGGGCUCACGGUGACACACAAGGAGGUGCCCUGAGUCAAUUGUUCCAGCCCUUCCCAAGGUGUGGCUUUCCUGAUGGUGACAAAGGAGAUGUGGGUGCCAUUGGGGUCAUGUCCCAGAGAAGGGAAAGAUGGAAAGAAGGAGGCGGCCAGUGGCCAUGAGAACCCUCCCGAGGAUGGGGGCAGGCUCUCCUGAAGCUGAGAGAGGGACAGAGGAGCACGCGCUGCUGUCACGGUGACCUUCCCUUCUCAGAGCUGCUGCUGAGUGCUGGGAGAGGUGGUGGGGAGCAGCAGCAAGUGAGCAAACAUGACUUUUAGAAGAAAAAGCCCCGGUUUCUUCCCCGGUGCCCGUGCAGGCUGCGUCAGCAGUGUUCUGAGCGGGUGGAGAGCCAAGAUUCAUUUGCCGCUUGAGAAGGCACAUGCGGGACGGUCAACACACUUGUUUGCUUUUAAUAAUGGAUUAGAGGCUAAGUGGAGAAUGCGAAGCUCCAAAGGAAACAGUUGGCACUCUGCCUGCUGUGAAUCUCAACACACUGUAUCCCGGGAAUCUCUUUCCAAUAGGACCCAGAAGCAAGCGGAAAGCAGGGUGUCCUCAGAAUCCUGCACGUAGGCAGGCAGGUGUGCUGGCCCUUUCCCUAGAGCACCUGAAUGUCCUUACCUGGUCCAUCCCCCAUGGCUGCCACACAGGGGGCCACCUGCACUGGGGAAAAUGGUCCCCAACUGAAUCUCCGUUGACAGAGCAAAACUUUAAAUCCCUUGUUCACUCCCUACUGGCUGUGUGACCUUGUGCAGAUUCCUUGACCUUUCUGAAUCUAAGAUAAAUAAAACACCAGAUGUGGUAGAGGCAGAAAAUAUUGAAGAGGGUAGCGGAGUGAUAACCACCCGCUGACUGCCUACCGCUGGCUUGCUUCCUUCCAAUUAUUAGUUAUCGUUCUCCUUAACCUCGAGAAAAGCGUCUUCAGCUUUGUUUAAAAUAAAGAGACACUGAAAUCCAGAGGUCUUCUUGCCCAAGACCAGGGAGUCAGCAAGGGGCGCAGCCAGGGCUUGACCCUGCUUCAGCCAGCAUUGUCUACGGCUGCCUCCCCGUGACCCGGGGCUGAAUGAAAUGUGAGCCAAGUGACCGUGACCCUAGGAGCCUCCAGGGUGCUGGCGAUGUGCAGCAGUUGUCUGAGGAGACUAGUGGGGUGCAGAGCACCCUGGGCACCCAUGGUGGGCUCAGGAGGUCAGCCAAGCUUCCCGGUUUCUUGGUCCCUCCGGCUCUCCUCCCAUUUUACACUGGAUAGGUGCCUACACCACACUGUGCCACGUACUCUCCGUCUCUCUCCUCACGGAGGUUCCUUCCCCCUGGGUGGCUGUUGCCUUUCUAUUCUGUCGAUGGUGCGCAGACUCCAUGGCCCUAGUGCAUCUGGCUGCUCUUGAUGGUGAACUCAGGGCUUGUCCAGUUCCUCUGCCCUCCCCUUCUGCCCCUCCCCUCCCCUUCUCUUUUCCUGCCCUCCUUCUAUCCCAUUCCUUCCCUGGCUGAGUGCUCUUGCUGAACGAGCUCACGUGCUCUUUGGAGUCAGCUGUCCUCAGGUUACGUGCCAGUGUGUCCAGAAUCAGGACUCCAGUCCCGGUUGUGGCUCUGAGAUGGGCCCCUUAUAUCCAAGUCCUUCCCGAACAUUUCCAGCUGGAUGCCCACCCAUGUCUGAAACUGAACAUCUCAAAGCACAAACAUGAAAAAUGACAUUGAACCCGUCUCACUGCCAUUGUCUAACCUGCCUCUCCAGCCUAUGGCCAACCUCGACCCACAAAGAGGCAAAUGUGACUCUGGUCUCUCUGAGGCCACAGACACAUCGCUGGCUGCCCACCGUCUGGGGGUACAGGCUGUGCCUGUGACCUGGAGUGAGCACCGGACGAGCCACACAAUGCCCCACAGGCUGGCACAGUGUGUCCUCUGGCUGUCUUACGUGUGAGGCUGGACACUUCCACCCAUUCUCUUUGCACAUGGUGGAAUGAUUUUCAGCCCAUCUGCAUUCAGCUGACUGUCCAGGUCUCAGAAGAGCUGACACCCUCUCACAUCUUCCCCAGGCUUGGUCACGGUCCUGUCAUGUGCUCUCCACAACAGCCCUCACUCCACCCAGGAAUUGGCCGCUGUUCUCCAAGCCAGGUAGCCACAGAAGAGAGAUCACGGCUGCUCUCACCACCUCCCCAUGGCCUGGGGGAAAUAAGGUGUCAACAUCAUUUCACAUUUUUUUAAACAAUAAAUAGGCAAGUGGUCAACGGUUUGUAUGUCCAUCAAUUGGAAAGACUCGGAGUUAGAAACGCACGUCUUGAGUUAUGUUUCCUGAGAUGAUGGUGGGGCCAAGAAGAGCUGGGAUUGGCCAGGGAAGAGUGGAGGAGAGCAAAGCCCUGAGGAAUCCUAGCAGCUCCCGGAGGAAGGGAGGACGACGCAGCCCCAGAGAAGACCCUGCCGUGGUUGCCAAGGCAAUAGGAGAGGACUCCGGAGACAGACCAUGCUGGAAGCCAAAGAAGCAAGCCCUCUGUGGCAGGGGGAGGUCUACAGUGAAGUCCCAGGCAGCUGUUGUGGAUUUAGCAGUGGAAAAAGGCCAUCUCAGGGCAGGGCUUUCCCUCAGCUCCUCCCCCGAGUCACACCAGGUGCCAUCAGGGCUCUGAGCCUCUGCAACGCUCAUCCCUUCACCUAGCCUGCCUUUCUGUCCCCAUUUCUUCUCUUGGGAAAC